UACGUAGGGGGCAAGCGUUGUCCGGAAUCAUUGGGCGUAAAGCGCGUGUAGGCGGUCCGGUAAGUCCGCUGUGAAAGUCGGGGGCUCAACCCUCGGAUGCCGGUGGAUACUGUCGGGCUUGAGUACGGAAGAGGCGAGUGGAAUUCCUGGUGUAGCGGUGAAAUGCGCAGAUAUCAGGAGGAGCACCAAUUGCGAAGGCAGCUCGCUGGGACGUUACUGACGCUGAGACGCGAAAGCGUGGGGAGCAAACAGG
rnacentral:rRNA from 1 species